ACACAAAAGAAGUUUCUUUCCUCUUUUUAUUGUUUUCCCCCUGCACCCAUGACGCAUGGAAGUUCUGGGACCACCAGGCCAGGAAUCGAAUCUGAGCUGCAUCUGAGACCUGUGCCACAGCUGCGGCUACACCAGAGCCUUAACUCACUACUCCGGGCUGGGGAAUCAAAUCGGCAAUGCCACAGAGACAAGCCAGACCAUUAAACCACUGGCCACAAUGGGAACUCCAAAACAAAGUUCUUUCUCAUGUAAAGUUCUGGUCUGCGGUGGCCCUGCUGUAAGAGGUGGUCCAUGGACUGUGGAACUUUCUAUUUUGAGGCUUCUUUGUCCUCCCGCUUGGUUUCCAAGGUCACUGUGCUGCUUUGCUCUAAGGGAAAUGAGCAAGGGGGGUUGUACAAGCUGAAUUUUAGGGCCCAGACCCUCAUUCUUGCUCAUGUUCUGUUGGUCAGGGCUCAGUCACACGACCACCUCUAACUGCAAGGGAGGCUGGGACGUGGAUGUUAGCCCAGGGCCCUGCAAGAAGAGAAAGCAGGUUCCCCCUACUCCAGACUUGUUGCUUAUUGAAAAAACAAACAUCUCAAUUUUCCUUUCAAAAGCAAUAUACUCUCUGUGUAGAAAAAUCAUAACCCAAACUUAAUGCCAUCUGAGACUAGCUUAGCUCUUGGGUGAACUUUCAUGAUUCUUACCUGGCCAGGUGACAGUUCUUUUUUCACCUUCAGAGGAUCACAAGUGAGGAAGAAAUUGUCCCCCUUGUAUCUGUUUGCAGGAUUUCGUCUUUUCUUUGUCAAUACAAGGAGGCUAGGAAAAAUAACAGAUGAGAUACAUGAAGUCAUUGAUGAUAACGUGGCAAGAGCUUGGGUUCCAGGGGAUCGAACCCACAACCCCAUGGUUCCUAGUUGGAUUUGUUUCUGCUGCUCCACAACAGGAACUCCUUACUAGCCAAAUAUUAUGCAGUAUUUUUCUCCACUCAUGAAUUUUUUGGAUCUGUGUACAUGUGCUAGUUCAUUCAUUUGAAGUGCUGUCUUGUCUUCCAUCAGCUGACUCUCACCCUUGCCAUUUAUUUUUCCACUCCCCAGUAACACAUAUAAUACAAGUGCAUUGUCUUCAGUUCCCCGCUCUGGGUAAUUAAUAGUCUCCUCACCUAAGUGUUCAGACAAGGAACCUUAGAGCCCGCUGUUAAAUGACCCAGCUAAGGUGUCACAGUUUUCACAGGCAGUGGAACCAGAGAAUGAGCCAAAACGGACCAUAUCUUCCCUCCCAGGCAAUCGUCUUUCUCACUGCUCCACCGUUAUCUCCUUUCAGGAAAAGGAGAUGAUAAAUUUGCAGGAAGUGUUAGAGAGUUUUAUCUUUAAAAAGCUCCAGGGAGAAAACGACCUUGUUUUGAGAGCAGUGUGAAGGUUUGAUGCCAGAUGGGGUCUCCCCAUGUGUUUCGAGGGCAGAGAACAGACCCGUGUGUGGCGGGAGGGUCACCCCCGACUUGGGGUCUUGUCUGUUGCCUUCCUGGGUGGCUUCCUGGGCAGAGACAGUGAGUGUGACAACCACCUUGAAGCUGGCCUUCUUUUCACAAGGGCAGCCAGACACUCAGGGGACUUUAUCUCCCAGCAUAGAGAGUUCCUGGGGGAACGGGACCACUUCUGUCCUUGGGGGGCAGGGGUGUCCGCGGGGGGUGGUCCCCGCAUCCUUUUUUUCCCAUUUCCACUGAAUAUAGUGUCACUGGAGAGCAGGAUUUGAAACCAGUUAACCUCAAAAGAGGCCAGUCAUGUCUGUCCCCAUUUCUCUUUGAAAAAUGAUGAAUGAUAAACAGUCCUCGAGGUUUACAGAUCUACCAAAAGACGGUCAAGGUUCUGAAACAAUGAGGACAUUCUUUUCCACGCUGAGGAUGGCACCAGGGCCUGGACGCCACCUGGCUCGGUCACUGGCUUCGGAGAGGGCCUGGGGCUGUUUUCGCAACUUCCCAGAGUUUCAGUUUCCUUGUCUUUCAAAGCAGAUGCUGUUGACAGUCACUUGUACCAUCAGACCAAGACUGACCAAUUGUGAGCCUCAGGGCACCCCCCCUCGCAGGAGCCCUUCCAGGACCUCCUAUCUCAUUUUUAUUCGUAAUUUGAUAUGCGUUUUUAUAAAGUGCAUCCCCCAAGUUGUGUAAGCUGUGGCCCC
rnacentral:lncRNA from 1 species